rnacentral:rRNA from 1 species
ACGCUGGCGGCAGGCUAAAACAUGCAGUCGAACGCCCGUAGCAUACGGGAGUGGCAGACGGGUGAGUAACACGUGGGAACGUGCCUUUUGGUUCGGAACAACACAGGGAAACUUGUGCUAAUACCGGAUAAGCCCUUACGGGGAAAGAUUUAUCGCCAAGAGAUCGGCCCGCGUCUGAUUAGCUAGUUGGUGAGGUAACGGCUCACCAAGGCUACGAUCAGUAGCUGGUCUGAGAGGAUGAUCAGCCACACUGGGACUGAGACACGGCCAGACUCCUACGGGAGGCAGCAGUUAGGAAUCUUGGACAAUGGGCGCAAGCCUGAUCCAGCCAUGCCGCGUGAGUGAUGAAGGCCUUAGGGUUGUAAAGCUCUUUCAGCGGGGAAGAUAAUGACGGUACCCGCAGAAGAAGCCCCGGCUAACUUCGUGCCAGCAGCCGCGGUAAUACAGAGGGGGCUAGCGUUGCUCGGAAUCACUGGGCGUAAAGCGCACGUAGGCGGCUUUCUAAGUCAGGGGUGAAAUCCUGGAGCUCAAUCCAGAACUGCCUUUGAUACUGGGAAGCUCGAGUCCGGAAGAGGUGAGUGGAACUCCGAGUGUAAGGUGAAAUUCGUAGAUCAUUCGGAAGAACACCAGUGGCGAAGGCGGUCAUGGUUCCGGUACUGACGCUGAGGUGCGAAAGCGUGGGGAGCAAACAGGGAUUGAGAUACCCUGGUAGUCCACGCCGUAAACGAUGGAUUGCUAAGCCGUUGGGGGGUUCACCCUUUCAAGGGGGGGGCAAAGAUAAAGGGCAUUAAGACAUUCCCGACUGGGGAGUAACGGGCGCGCACAGAUUACAGGUCCACAGGAACUGCGACGGGGGACACGAA